GAUGAACGCUGGCGGCGUGCCUAAUACAUGCCAGUCGAGCGAACGGACGAGAAGCUUGCUUCUCUGAUGUUAGCGGCGGACGGGUGAGUAACACGUGGAUAACCUACCUAUAAGACUGGGAUAACUUCGGGAAACCGGAGCUAAUACCGGAUGAUAUUUUGAACCGCAUGGUUCAAAAGUGAAAGACGGUCUUGCUGUCACUUAUAGAUGGAUCCGCGCUGCAUUAGCUAGUUGGUAAGGUAACGGCUUACCAGGCAACGAUGCAUAGCCGACCUGAGAGGGUGAUCGGCCACACUGGAACUGAGACACGGUCCAGACUCCUACGGGAGGCAGCAGUAGGGAAUCUUCCGCAAUGGGCGAAAGCCUGACGGAGCAACGCCGCGUGAGUGAUGAAGGUCUUCGGAUCGUAAAACUCUGUUAUUAGGGAAGAACAUAUGUGUAAGUAACUGUGCACAUCUUGACGGUACCUAAUCAGAAAGCCACGGCUAACUACGUG
rnacentral:rRNA from 1 species